rnacentral:tRNA from 1 species
GGGACAAUGGCUCGAGCGGUAAGGCGAGUGAUUGCAAAUCACUUUCAGGUCGGUUCGAAUCCGGCUUGUCCCU